ACAGGUGUCUCUCAGGUUAGACAACAGGCGUCUCUCAGGUGUCUCUCAGAUGACUUUCAGGUGUCUCUCAGGUGAGACAACAGGUGUCUCCCCAGGCGUCUCUCAGGUGUCUUUCAGGUGAGACAACAAGUGUCUCUCAGGUGUCUCUCAGGUGAGACAACGAGUGUCUCUCAGGUAUCUCUCAAGUGAGACAACAGGUGUCUCUCAGGUAUCUCUCAGGUGAGACAACAGGUAUCUCUCAGGUGAGACGACAGGUGUCUGUCAGGUGUCUUUCAGGUGAGACAACAAGUGUCUCUCAGGUGUCUCUCAGGUGAGACAAGUGUCUCUCAGGUGUCUCUCAGGUGAGACGACAGGUGUCUCUCAGAUGUCUCUCAGGUGAGACAACAGGCAUCUCUCAGAUGUCUCUCAGGUGAGACAACAGGCAUCUCUCAGGUGUCUCUCAGGUGAGACAACAGGUAUCUCUCAGGUGAGACGACAGGUGUCUUUCAGGUGAGACAACAAGUGUCUCUCAGGUGUCUCUCAGGUGAGACGACAGGUGUCUCUCAGAUGUCUCUCAGGUGAGACAACAGGCAUCUCUCAGAUGUCUCUCAGGUGAGACAACAGGCAUCUCUCAGGUGUCUCUCAGGUGAGACAACAGGUGUUUCUCAGGCAUCUCUCAGGUGGACAGGUGGACACAAACACCUGGUGGGCCCAACAUGGAUCCCUGGAGGACUCCAGAGAGACAGGAAGUCAGGAUGUCUCAUGUCCUGUGAGACAACGCCGUCCCCGAGGCUGCUGGGAGUUAAUCAGAUCAUCUAUUGAUCUCAAGGUGUGUGUGUGUGUGUGUGUGUGUGUGUG